UACGAAGGGGGCGAGCGUUGUUCGGAUUUACUGGGCGUAAAGGGCGCGCAGGCGGCGCAUUUUGUCAGGCGUGAAAGCCCCGGGCUUAACCUGGGAACUGCGUUUGAUACGGAUGGGCUAGAGUUCGGGAGAGGAGAGUGGAAUUCCCAGUGUAGAGGUGAAAUUCGUAGAUAUUGGGAAGAACACCGGUGGCGAAGGCGGCUCUCUGGACCGAGACUGACGCUGAGGCGCGAAAGCAUGGGGAGCGAACAGG
rnacentral:rRNA from 1 species